rnacentral:rRNA from 1 species
UACGGAGGGUGCAAGCGUUAAUCGGAAUUACUGGGCGUAAAGCGGGCGCAGGCGGUUUGUUAAGUCCGUUGUGAAAGCCCCGAGCUCAACUUGGGAAUUGCAGUGGAUACUGGCAGGCUGGAGUACGGUAGAGGAAGGUGGAAUUCCCGGUGUAGCAGUGAAAUGCGUAGAUAUCGGGAGGAACACCAGUGGCGAAGGCGGCCUUCUGGACCAGUACUGACGCUCAUGCACGAAAGCGUGGGGAGCAAACAGG